GACGAACGCUGGCGGCGUGCUUAACACAUGCAAGUCGAACGGAAAGGCCCUGCUUUUGUGGGGUGCUCGAGUGGCGAACGGGUGAGUAACACGUGAGUAACCUGCCCUUGACUUUGGGAUAACUUCAGGAAACUGGGGCUAAUACCGGAUAGGAGCUCCUGCUGCAUGGUGGGGGUUGGAAAGUUUCGGCGGUUGGGGAUGGACUCGCGGCUUAUCAGCUUGUUGGUGGGAUAGUGGCUUACCAAGGCUUUGACGGGUAGCCGGCCUGAGAGGGUGACCGGCCACAUUGGGACUGAGAUACGGCCCAGACUCCUACGGGAGGCAGCAGUGGGGAAUAUUGCACAAUGGGCGGAAGCCUGAUGCAGCAACGCCGCGUGCGGGAUAACGGCCUUCGGGUUGUAAACCGCUUUCGCCUGUGACGAAGCGUGAGUGACGGUAAUGGGUAAAGAAGCACCGGCUAACUACGUG
rnacentral:rRNA from 1 species